AAGGUGGGGACGACGUCAAGUCAUCAUGGCCCUUACGUGUAGGGCUACACACGUGCUACAAUGGCCGGUACAAACGGUUGCGAACCCGCGAGGGGAAGCUAAUCCGAGAAAGCCGGUCGUAGUCCGGAUUGGGGUCUGCAACUCGACCCCAUGAAGUCGGAAUCGCUAGUAAUCGUAGAUCAGAAUGCUACGGUGAAUACGUUCCCGGGCCUUGUACACACCGCCCG
rnacentral:rRNA from 1 species